UGGGGAAUUUUGGACAAUGGGCGAAAGCCUGAUCCAGCCAUGCCGCGUGAGUGAAGAAGGCCUUCGGGUUGUAAAGCUCUUUUAGUCGGAAAGAAAGAGUUGCAAUGAAUAAUUGUGAUUUAUGACGGUACCGACAGAAAAAGCACCGGCUAACUACGUGCCAGCAGCCGCGGUAAUACGUAGGGUGCGAGCGCUAAUCGGAAUUACUGGGCGUAAAGGGUGCGCAGGCGGUCUUGCAAGUCAGAUGUGAAAGCCCCGGGCUUAACCUGGGAAUUGCGUUUGAAACUACAAGGCUAGAGUGCAGCAGAGGGGAGUGGAAUUCCAUGUGUAGCAGUGAAAUGCGUAGAGAUGUGGAAGAACACCGAUGGCGAAGGCAGCUCCCUGGGUUGACACUGACGCUCAUGCACGAAAGCGUGGGGAGCAAACA
rnacentral:rRNA from 1 species